CUUCAUUGCAAUCUACAUUGUUUUUCUCUUUUGUGUUUUCGUUCAACUUUUCAAAAGAUUCUUGGGGCAAAAAAAUAAUUGCUGCUACUUGCUAAAUUAUGAAUGCUACAAGGCCACUGACAGAAAGGUAGACAUCGAAUCCUCUUGUAGAAUCGUUUUGAGAAACAAGAAUCUUGGUUGGGAUGAAUACAAGUUUCUUUUAAAAACCAUGGUCAGUUCAGACAUUGGUGAACAAACUUAUUGUCCCAAAAAUGUCAUUAUGGGUAGAGAGGAGAAUCCCAAUUUCUACAAUUCCUUCUCUAGUAGCCCACAAGAGUGAAGCUCUUGAAGACCCCAAAAAUUGAAGUAGUAUAUUAAAAAACUACACGUACUAAUUGAUAAAAUCGAAGUUUUAUAUUUUAGUUUUGCUUAACAGGUUAUGGUAAGGCAGUUCUAAUACGCUAUGUUUUGUUUACUUUGAUGUAUAUUUAAUAUAGCUUCAACAUGGAUAGUCACAGAGUUAGGAAUAAAAAACCACCGACGAGAAUGAACAUGCUUUUAUCAAAAUUAUUUACGAGAAAGUUAAAUCAAACACAUUGCAAUGUUCUACAUUCACGAAAGACGAAUGGGACAGGAUCACGAAAGACGAAUGGGACAGGAUCAAUGAAGUCAUGAUAGUUUCAACAAAAAUGGAUUACGGCAUAGAUAGAUUGAAGGGAAAGUGGAACCGCUUACGUAAGAUUUGUCGCAUGUUCUCUGAACAUUUGGGACAUAUAGGUGUUACAUGAGAUCCAAACACCAACAAAGUUAAUGCUGCAGAGGAAGUUUGGCAACACUUUUAUACGGUAACAUAUAUUUAUUAUAGAAUAUUUUUCGUCAUUAGUUUUUAUCUUAUCAAUUUUACGUUUUUUUUUAAAAAAAAAAAUUGACAAUGUGGCUUAUUUUUUCAAUGUUAGAUUAACAAGUUGGAUUACAAAUU
rnacentral:lncRNA from 1 species